GGCACAGUGGAUCAGCUCAGACCAAGUGCGAUGUCGUUGACAAUCCUCUUUGAUUUCUAGUGUAUAUCAAAUUGUUGUGGAGGAAGAACGCCCCCGAAGAACGAAGAAGACAACAGAAGUCCUGAAGUGCUACCCGGUGCCCAUUCACUUCCAGAACGCUUCCAUACUGAACUCUCAGUACUACUUCGCGGCAGAGUUUCCAGCGGACAGCCUGCAAGCAGCUCAGCCUUUCACUGUUGGGGAUAACAAGACCUACAGCGGAUACUGGAACACUCCUCUGCUCCCCCACAAAAGCUACAGAAUUUAUUUCCAAGCUGCUAGUCGAGCCAAUGGGGAAACCAAAAUAGACUGUGUUCGAGUGGCCACAAAAGCUGCGAUAAUCGUGACUCAGCUUACA